CCUACGGGAGGCAGCAGUGAGGAAUAUUGGUCAAUGGACGAGAGUCUGAACCAGCCAAGUAGCGUGAAGGAUGACUGCCCUAUGGGUUGUAAACUUCUUUUAUAUGGGAAUAAAAUGUUCCACGUGUGGGAUUUUGUAUGUACCAUAUGAAUAAGGAUCGGCUAACUCCGUGCCAGCAGCCGCGGUAAUACGGAGGAUCCGAGCGUUAUCCGGAUUUAUUGGGUUUAAAGUGAGCGUAGGUGGAUUGUUAAGUCAGUUGUGAAAGUUUGCGGCUCAACCGUAAAAUUGCAGUUGAAACUGGCAGUCUUGAGUACAGUAGAGGUGGGCGGAAUUCGUGGUGUAGCGGUGAAAUGCUUAGAUAUCACGAAGAACUCCGAUUGCGAAGGCAGUUCACUGGACUGCAACUGACACUGAGGCUCGAAAGUGUGGGUAUCAAACAGGAUUAGAUACCCCUGUAGUC
rnacentral:rRNA from 1 species